rnacentral:rRNA from 1 species
UGAAUACGAGACGCUACGGCGUCGAAGCAGUCUAUGUCAUACUUCCAAGAAAAGCUCGCAAUGUCAUAAACAAAUAAUGCCUGUACCAUAACCGACACAGGUGGGUAGGUAGAGUAUACUAAGGGGCGCGAGAUAACUCUCUCUAAGGAACUCGGCAAAAUGACUCCGUAACUUCGGGAGAAGGAGUGCCUUAUUUAUAAGGUUGCAAUAACAAGAUCCAAGCAACUGUUUAUCAAAAACACAGGUCUCCGCUAAGUCGUAAGACGAUGUAUGGGGGCUGACGCCUGCCCAGUGCCAGAAGGUUAAAGAAGUUGGUUAGCAUUCGCGAAGCUGAUAACUGAAGCCCUGGUGAACGGCGGCCGUAACAAUAACGGUCCUAAGGUAGCGAAAUUCCUUGUCGGGUAAGUUCCGACCCGCACGAAAGGCGUAAUGAUUUGGAUACUGUCUCGGAGAGGGGCUCGGUGAAAUAGACUUGUCUGUGAAGAUGCGGACUACCUGCACCUGGACAGAAAGACCCUAUGAAGCUUUACUGUAACUUGAAAUUGAAAUUGGACUUUAUUUGCGCAGCAUAGGUGGGAGGCGUUGAGAGUAUUCUUGCGGGAAUAUUGGAGCCAUCAGUGAGAUACCACUCUUGUAAUGUUAGAUUUCUAACUUUGGAUCAUUAUCUGGUCAAAGAACAGUUUCAGGCGGGCAGUUUGACUGGGGCGGUCGCCUCCCAAAUGGUAACGGAGGCGUACAAAGGUUUCCUCUGAACGGGUAGAAAUCGUUUCUAGAGUGUAAAGGCAUAAGGAAGCUUGACUGUGAGACCUACAAGUCGAGCAGGGACGAAAGUCGGUCUUAGUGAUCUGACGGUGCUGAGUGGAAAGGCCGUCACUCAACGGAUAAAAGUUACUCUAGGAUAACAGGCUGAUCUCCCCCAAGAGUUCACAUCGACGGGGAGGUUUGGCACCUCGAUGUCGGCUCAUCGCAUCCUGGGGCGGUAGUACGUCCCAAGGGUUGGGCUGUUCGCCCAUGAAAGCGGUACGCGAGCUGGGUUCAGAACGUCGUGAGACAGUUCGGUCCAUAUCCGGUGUAGGCGUUAGAAUAUUGAGAGGAGCCUUCUUUAGUACGAGAGGACCGAGAAGGACAUACCUCUGGUGUACCAGUUAUCGUGCCAACGGUAAACGCUGGGUAGCUAUGUAUGGAGAGGAUAACCGCUGAAAGCAUCUAAGAGGGAAGCCCACCUCAAGAUAAGUAUUCGC